rnacentral:rRNA from 1 species
GACGAACGCUGGCGGCGUGCCUAACACAUGCAAGUCGUACGGGACCGGGGGGCAACUCCGGUUCAGUGGCAGACGGGUGCGUAACACGUGAGGAACCUGUCCGGUGGCGGGGGAUAGCCGGCCCAACGGCCGGGUAAUACCGCAUACGCUCGUUCGGGGGCAUCCCUGGGCGAGGAAAGCAGCCGCAAGGUUGCGCCGACGGAGGGCCUCGCGACCUAUCAGCUUGUUGGCGGGGUAACGGCCCACCAAGGCGACGACGGGUAGCUGGUCUGAGAGGAUGAUCAGCCACAUUGGGACUGAGACACGGCCCAGACUCCUACGGGAGGCAGCAGGUGGGGAAUAUUGCGCAAUGGCCGCAAGGCUGACGCAGCGACGCCGCGUGUGGGAUGACGGUCUUCGGAUUGUAAACCACUGUC